UCAGGACGAACGCUGGCGGCGUGCCUAAUACAUGCAAGUCGAGCGGACUUAAAAAGCUUGCUUUUUAAGUUAGCGGCGGACGGGUGAGUAACACGUGGGCAACCUGCCUGUAAGACUGGGAUAACUUCGGGAAACCGGAGCUAAUACCGGAUAAUCCUUUCCUACUCAUGUAGGAAAGCUGAAAGACGGUUUACGCUGUCACUUACAGAUGGGCCCGCGGCGCAUUAGCUAGUUGGUGAGGUAACGGCUCACCAAGGCGACGAUGCGUAGCCGACCUGAGAGGGUGAUCGGCCACACUGGGACUGAGACACGGCCCAGACUCCUACGGGAGGCAGCAGUAGGGAAUCUUCCGCAAUGGACGAAAGUCUGACGGAGCAACGCCGCGUGAGUGAUGAAGGUUUUCGGAUCGUAAAACUCUGUUGUUAGGGAAGAACAAGUACGAGAGUAACUGCUCGUACCUUGACGGUACCUAACCAGAAAGCCACGGCUAACUACGUGCCAGCAGCCGCGGUAAUACGUAGGUGGCAAGCGUUGUCCGGAAUUAUUGGGCGUAAAGCGCGCGCAGGCGGUCCUUUAAGUCUGAUGUGAAAGCCCACGGCUCAACCGUGGAGGGUCAUUGGAAACUGGGGGACUUGAGUGCAGAAGAGAAGAGUGGAAUUCCACGUGUAGCGGUGAAAUGCGUAGAGAUGUGGAGGAACACCAGUGGCGAAGGCGACUCUUUGGUCUGUAACUGACGCUGAGGCGCGAAAGCGUGGGGAGCAAACAGGAUUAGAUACCCUGGUAGUCCACGCCGUAAACGAUGAGUGCUAAGUGUUAGAGGGUUUCCGCCCUUUAGUGCUGCAGCAAACGCA
rnacentral:rRNA from 1 species